rnacentral:rRNA from 1 species
GACGAACGCUGGCGGCGUGCUUAACACAUGCAAGUCGAACGGUGAAGGGACCGGUUUUUGCUGGUUCUGGAUGAGUGGCGAACGGGUGAGUAACACGUGAGUAACCUGCCCCCUUCUUCUGGAUAACCGCAUGAAAGUGUGGCUAAUACGGGAUAUUCUGCGCCUGCUGCAUGGUGGGUGUGGGAAAGAUAUUGUUUCGGUGGGGGAUGGGCUCGCGGCCUAUCAGCUUGUUGGUGGGGUGAUGGCCUACCAAGGCGGUGACGGGUAGCCGGCCUGAGAGGGUGGACGGUCACGCUGGGACUGAGACACGGCCCAGACUCCUACGGGAGGCAGCAGUGGGGAAUAGUGCACAAUGGGCGCAAGCCUGAUGCAGCGACGCCGCGUGAGGGAUGGAGGCCUUCGGGUUGUAAACCUCUUUCGCCAGUGAAGCAGGCCUGUCCCUUUUGUGGGUGGGUUGACGGUAGCUGGAUAAGAAGCGCCGGCUAACUACGUG